CGAACGGGUGAGUAACACGUAGGUAACCUGCCCUUAAGCUGGGAUACCCAGAGGAAACUUUGGCUAAUACCGGAUAACAACAGAGAAGGCAUCUUCUUUGCUUGAAAGGCCCCUUCAAGGGUCACUUAAGGAUGGACCUGCGGCGCAUUAGCUAGUUGGUGAGAUAACAGCCCACCAAGGCGAGGAUGCGUAGCCGAACUGAGAGGUUGAUCGGCCACAUUGGAACUGAGACACGGUCCAAACUCCUACGGGAGGCAGCAGUAAGGAGUUUUCGGCAAUGGGGGAAACCCUGACCGAGCAACGCCGCGUGAGCGAUGACGGUCCUUUGGAAUUGUAAAGCUCUGUUGUAAGCCAUGAAUGACAGCUUGAGGAAAUGCAAGUUGUUUGACGACAGCUUACCAGAAAGCCACGGCUAACUACGUGCCAGCCGCAGC
rnacentral:rRNA from 1 species